AGUGAACGCUGGCGGUAGGCCUAACACAUGCAAGUCGAACGGCAGCACAGUAAGAGCUUGCUCUUACGGGUGGCGAGUGGCGGACGGGUGAGGAAUACAUCGGAAUCUACUUUUUCGUGGGGGGUAACGUAGGGAAACUUAUGCUAAUACCGCAUACGACCUACGGGUGAAAGCAGGAGAUCUUCGGACCUUGCGCGAUCGAAUGAGCUGAUGUCGGAUUAGCUAGUUGGCGGGGUAAAGGCCCACCAAGGCGACGCUCCGUAGCUGGUCUGAGAGGAUGAUCAGCCACACUGGAACUGAGACACGGUCCAGACUCCUACGGGAGGCAGCAGUGGGGAAUAUUGGACGAUGGGCGCAAGCCUGAUCCAGCCAUGCCGCGUGGGUGAAGAAGGCCUUCGGGUUGUAAAGCCCUUUUGUUGGGAAAGAAAAGCAGCAGGUUAAUACCCCGCUGUUCUGACGGUACCCAAAGAAUAAGCACCGGCUAACUUCGUG
rnacentral:rRNA from 1 species